rnacentral:rRNA from 1 species
GCGGGGGGGGGGAUUUGUCAUUGCCUAACGGCUGAACCAGCAACUUGGAGGAAUGUAUAGCGAAAGCUGGUUGUAUUAACUAUUAGUUUAUGCAGCAUCGACUUUGUCGAAUAAAAUUCUAGAUAGGAUUAUGAUGAUGACAUUAUCUAUCUACAUGUCUUGACCAAAUCACGUGCCAGCAGUCGCGGUAAUACGUGGUAGACUAGUGUUAUUCAUCUUUAAUUGGUUUAAAGGGUACUUAGACGGAAAAUUAAGCCCCUAUAGGGUACUAAUUUUCUAGAGUUUUAUGCGAGAGGGGGUGUAUUGAAGAGUGUAGAGAUGAAAUUUUUUAAUACCUUCUGGAACAGUCAACGGCGAAAGCAACCCUUUAUGUAAAAACUGACGUUGAAGGACGAAGGCUUGGUGCACCAACAGGAUUAGAGACCCUAGCAGUCCUAGCAGAAAAUUAUGAAUGUCAUAGAUUAGAUUAGAAUGUUAAUUAGAGUAUUCAAGUACUUUAAUUUUAAACAAUUCCUGGUUAUUUUUUUUAGCCAGAUAUUAAUUUUUGUCUAUAAAUGAAAGUGUAAGCAUUCCACCUCAAGAGUAAUGUGGCAACGCAGAAACUGAAAUCAUUAGACCGUUUCUGAAACCAGUAGUGAAGUAUGUUGUUUAAAUUGAUGAUCCACAAAAAACCUUACCACAAUUUGUAUAUUAUUUAUAAUACAAGAGUUGCACGGCUGUCUUCAGUUAAUGUCGUGAGAUUUUGGUUAAUUCCAUUAAUUAACGUAAACCCUUGCUUUAUUUUUUUUUUAAAGUAGUUCACCACUAUAUUGGAUUAGAUAACAGGGAAUAAGACAAGUCAUCAGACCUUAAUUUGGGGCUUAGAAGGGGG